ACUUUGUGAGAGAAAACAGAGGCAUAGGGUGCAAGCAUAAUGUUAAAAAAGCUUUUGUAGGCGCACGUUCAAGGGUGACAAUGAGAUUGAGAGAGGAGAAAAUAUUAAGACAGAAUUAGGGAACGCAAUCAUACAUUUGAGGAGUUCAAUAAGUAUUAUCUGGAAGAACGUCUAUCCUACUUCAACAUGGUGCGUUGAUGAACUUGUGAAAAUCCUUAAUUAAGAGGACAAAAGGGCAUGCAAUUCUUCGUGUUUCAUCAUGGGGAUCCUUCUGAAGUUAAACAUCAGAGAAAGAGUUUUGCAGAAGCAUUUACGACAUAUGCGAGACAAAUUGAAGAAGAGAAAUAGGAGAAGGGAUCAUCUAACUUUCAAAUUAUAUACCAUAUGGAGCAAAAAAUCAUUAAAUUUCUUGUUUCUUUUCCCUUUCUUCUAUCUAAUGUUCCUACAUAAAUUCUGUAAUUAGUGAUGAAUCUAUGAAAGAACAAAUGUCACCAAAAUAAUGAUUAAAUUGAGAAGCAUACUAGCAUU